rnacentral:lncRNA from 1 species
UCUCUUCCAUCUCUUGUAUUCUGUUGUUGAUGAGUCUAUGGUUCCAGAUUUCUUUCCUAGGGUUUCUAUCUCCAGCUUUGCCUCACGUUGGGUUUUCUUUAUUGUGUCUACUUCCCUUUUUAUGUCUAGUAUGGUUUUGUUCAUUUCCAUCACCUGUUUGGAUGUGUUUUCCUGUUUUUCUAUAAGGACUUCUACCUGUUUGGUUGUGUUUUCCUGCUUUUCUUUAAGGACUUGUAACUCUUUAGCAGUGUUCUCCUGUAUUUCUUUAAGAGAGUUAUUAAAGUUCUUCUUGAUGUCCUCUACCUUCAUCAUGAGAUAUGCUUUUAAAUCCGGGUCUAGCUUUUCGGUUGUGUUGGGGUGCCCAGGUCUAGGUCGCAUGGGAGUGCUGCGUUCUGAUGAUGGUGAGUGGUCUUAAUUUCUGUUAGUAGGAUUCUUAAGUUUGCCUUUGCCAUCUGGUAUUCUCUGGAGCUGUGCAGGAUACACUCGGCGGGUCCUGGAACCAAGAUGUCUGUGCAGGGUACACUCGGCAGUGUUCUGGAACUAAGAUGUCUCCUGCCAAUGCUCAGGCAAAGCGCUCCCGUGCCGGGCAGGUCCCUAUCCUCUGGCCGGGGAAAAUGGCCAGCUGUCUGUGCAGGAUACACUCGGGGUCCCGGAACCGAGAUGUCUGCUGCUGAUGCUCAGGCAAAGUGCUCCCGUGCCAGGCAGAUCCCAAUCCUCAGAAUUCUUAAGAUUGCGUGGCUGGUGUUGUGGGUAUCUGGUGGUAGUCAGCUGACUGUGCGCCCUAGCUACCCUGGUGCUGCUUGGACCGAAAGGGGCUUGUGUCCCUACUCAGACUGGGUCUUCUGCUUCCCUGACUAAUGCAGUCUCAGGUCCCACGCAAUUGGAUUGGAGCAGAUGCUGUGUUCCACUCACCAGAAGUCUUAAGAUCACUUGGCGGGUGUUGUGGGUAGCUGGCGGUUGUCAGCCGAUUCUGCGCCCUAGCUACCCUGGUGCUGCUUGGACCGUAAGCCCAUUUCUUUAGUUGAUGAGAAUACAAAAUCAUGACCACUAGAAAAACAUCAAAGUCAUUUUUGACACAAUUUUCUCUUAUGGCUCAUUUUAGACAGAGUCUUGCUUGCUGUAUGUCUUAGAUAGACUUUGAAGUCACUAUAUACGUAAAGUGCUGGCCUUCACUAAUGCAACAUCUUCCUCCCUUAGCCUUAUGCUAUUUUCAGUGAUUUCUGACUUUACUUCUAAAAUCCUGCAGUGCCUUUUCUUCUCUCUCAGGCCACCCUUUAUGAUCCAGUUUUACACUUUGUCAUGCUUCCGCAAUAGUUUCAAAGUGGUUUCUCUUCUUUCAGAUUGUCCAGGUUUCACGAUAUCCACCUAUCAUUGUUCAUCACCACAGUUGCACCAUGAAAUAUGGUGGUGGCACUGUAUUACUUCUGAGUUCAAUUCUUUUCUAGAUGUGUUGAAGACAGGGGAAGUCUCCAAGCCUUCCUUCAGGUGAAGUACAUAAAUAUACAGAAGCCAUGCUCGUGGCUCACAGAAGGGAACCACAGGCAGAAUGCAGGGAUGGUACGCUUCUGGAGGGGUAAAACCAUUCCACUCCAGCCUUGAGAGUGGAGACCCAAUUCUGCCCAAGCUUUCAUUUGUUUUCUUCACUGGAAGCUACAAAUACAGAUCUUUAUUGAAGUAGCUCAUUAAAAGAAAAGAAAAGAUUUUCUUUUGAAACCACUUCAUGAGCCAGUUUGCAACCUUGGUUUUCGUCUUUCAUUCCUUUGUUCUUUUCUUUUUUCUUUUCUUCUUUUUCAAUACCCAUCACUUCUGAGUGUUAUAGCAGCAGCUCUUCUAUGAGGACCCAGGACAACCAUCUCCAAAACUUUCUUUGAAUUAUUCUUCAACCAUCCCUCCAAAUUUAGUAGCUUAAUAGUCUAAGCUUCUACAGAGUUUGAACUAAUACAAAUUUAAUUAUAAUAAAAAAUAUUAUUUUGGUUUACAUGAUUAAUUCCUCUGAUUAUUUAAAGUAAUAGCUACUGUACUAGAGGGAAGUCCAUGUCAAUAUCAAAAGAAAAGAGAACCUUCUGAGAAGAGGUGGUGGCAGUGCCUUUCUUUAAUCCCAGCACUAGGGAGGCAAAGGCAGGCAGAUCUCUUGAGUUUGAGGCCAGCCUAGUCUACUGAGUGAGUUCUAGGUUAGCCAAGGCUACCAGAGAGAAACCCUGUCUUGAAAUAAAGAACGAACAAACAACAGAGAAAGGAAAGAAACACACAGAGAGAAACUUCUGAUUUUCUUAUUUAUUUAAUAUUUGUAAUAUAAUAAGAUGAAAAACAAAUAACCUCCUAAAAAAAGCAAGAGUUUGAAAUAUGCGGGAUAAAGAGGCUGCAUUUAAUGUCUCCUUACCUGAGUGAGGUGGGAAGUAAAACACAGUAUGUAGAAGACCAAGCAGAACGGCACAUCUGCAUCUUAGUUAGGGUUGCUAGCACCACCUAAAACAAUGUGGACAGACAUAGGGGAAGAGCAAAGCAGAAUUUGCACUCAGGUUGCUCUUUGGGAUUUUAUCAGGAACUAAUGCUCCAGAAAAAAAGAAGGUCCAAAGUAUAGUCAACCUUUUGUAUUUGUGAAUUCAACUUCUAUAGUUCUAGCCAAUCAUGGGUGGAAAGCCAUUGAAAAACCCAGCAUCUCUACUGAACACGAUCAGAUGUCUAUGUUGGCAUUCUUAAAUAAUACACAACAACAAAAAAACCCUUUCUGUAACAUUUGUAAAUUAAGAAAUCUAUAAUGAUAAAAUUUGUGAUAGGAUUGCAUAGGAUAUCUUUAAACACUAUGCCAUCUUAUAAAAUAAACUUGAAUUUGUGAGGAGCUGCUAACUAUAAAGGGUCUAGAAUCAACUCACUAGAGACACUGAGAGACACUGUACUUGGAACGUUAUGGGAAAUCACCACUCAUCUCUCUGUUUGGACCUUCUACGGAGAAGCAAAUACAUGGUUCAGAUACGAUCUGUAGUGACAGAAGAAAAAUAUGAAAAUAAUACUGCAUAUGCAAUGAAAGUUAGAAAAUAAAAACACCAUUAACAAAAGAUGAUAAAAAUCACAAAAACCAAAUGGCACACUUACAUUUGACAUAUUAAUAAUUAUAUUAGAUAUAAUAAGAUUAGAUAAUUUAAUCAAAAUUAAUACAAUUUUAAAAAAUUAAUGUUGUCUUGCAAAUUCAUGAAAUCUCAUGCCUAAUAUUACCUCAUCCACCUGUUAAAUUAAAAUUUAUAUAAAACAUUUAUGAAAACUGACCAAAAAGAAUCAAACCAUGAUGCAGAGAAAUAUACAAUAUUUUUAGAAAUAUAUAUAAGAGCAAGCUUGGUGACACACAUCUGUAAUGUCAGCACUUAAAAGGCUGCUGAGGGAGGACUGCACAAGUUGAGAGCAGACUGGGGAUAUGUAGUGAGUUACAGAAGAGCCUGGGCUACAGAGUAAGAUCCUGUUACAAAAUAUCAAAGACAUGGUAUAAAGGAGUCAUAAAUCUCUCUCUACUUAAUUGAAAUUAAAUGAAAACCAUGAGAGGAUAGUUUUAAAAAUCUAUUUAAGAAUAUACAUUGACCUGUUUUGAAGUUAUAUAACAUAAAGAUCAGAGACUUUACUUUUCAAAUUGACCAAUGUUUAUAAAAAUAUUUUAAUUAACUUUAUUCUUUGAUAUUUGUAUAUAUGUAUAUACAUAUUCUAGUUAUUCUUAUUUCUAUCCUCUUUUAUCUCCCUCCCAUCCCUGUCUAUUCCCACUUUCCUACAGUUUCUUCCCUAUACUUAUGCCUUUAUUCUGUGGCCCAUGUGAUUCCCUAGGUAUAUCUAUAUGUCAAUGGGUUGGGUGAGCUUGAUGGCUUUAUAGUGGGCACAGGUUUGAAGACAAUGAAUGGUAUAUUAAAGACAAAAUAAUCAGGAGGGGUGAAAGAGAGAUAAGAAAUGGAGGAUAAAUGUUAAGCCAAAAAGAUGGAGUCGGGAUGUUAGCACCAGACUGCUCAGGUCAUUUGUAAAUGAAAUAAGAAAUAGAUUUUAAGAAUAAU